GACCCGAGGGGGGCCCCCACGCCCGCUCUGGCCUCUCAGGUCAGCCCUGAAAUGUCCAUUACUCACAAAGAAAAGGAAAAUGCUCAUUUGAAAGAAAUUCUUCUCUUUGUCAAUGCUGAGGCAUUCUCUCAGCCCCAGCCCCACAGUGCUCCAGUGUGUGAAGGGCAACAGCUGACGGGGAAGUUCAGCACAUCUGUGCUGACCAGGGCUGGAGGCGAUGCCAGUCCGUGCAGCUGGGAACGCCUCCUCUGCUAUGGCUGGAGCCACUGCUGAAGGGACUCCACCUGGCACCUAUGCCACCAAUGGCCCCUGAACGGGUAUCUAGGCCCACCCUUAAUAAAGAUGAGCUGCUCAUUCCCA
ensembl:lncRNA MIR1-1HG MIR1-1 host gene